rnacentral:rRNA from 1 species
UACGUAGGGGGCAAGCGUUGUCCGGAAUCAUUGGGCGUAAAGCGCGUGUAGGCGGUCCGGUAAGUCCGCUGUGAAAGUCGGGGGCUCAACCCUCGGAUGCCGGUGGAUACUGUCGGGCUUGAGUACGGAAGAGGCGAGUGGAAUUCCUGGUGUAGCGGUGAAAUGCGCAGAUAUCAGGAGGAACACCAAUUGCGAAGGCAGCCCGCUGGGACGUUACUGACGCUGAGACGCGAAAGCGUGGGGAGCAAACAGG